UUAAGCGACUAAGCGUACACGGUGGAUGCCCUGGCAGUCAGAGGCGAUGAAGGACGUGCUAAUCUGCGAUAAGCGUCGGUGAGGUGAUAUGAACCGUUAUAACCGGCGAUUUCCGAAUGGGGAAACCCAGUGUGUUUCGACACACUAUCAUUAACUGAAUCCAUAGGUUAAUGAGGCGAACCGGGGGAACUGAAACAUCUAAGUACCCCGAGGAAAAGAAAUCAACCGAGAUUCCCCCAGUAGCGGCGAGCGAACGGGGAGGAGCCCAGAGCCUGAAUCAGUGUGUGUGUUAGUGGAAGCGUCUGGAAAGGCGUGCGAUACAGGGUGACAGCCCCGUACACAAAAAUGCACAUAUUGUGAGCUCGAUGAGUAGGGCGGGACACGUGGUAUCCUGUCUGAAUAUGGGGGGACCAUCCUCCAAGGCUAAAUACUCCUGACUGACCGAUAGUGAACCAGUACCGUGAGGGAAAGGCGAAAAGAACCCCGGCGAGGGGAGUGAAAAAGAACCUGAAACCGUGUACGUACAAGCAGUGGGAGCCUCUUAAUGGGGUGACUGCGUACCUUUUGUAUAAUGGGUCAGCGACUUAUAUUCUGUAGCAAGGUUAACCGAAUAGGGGAGCCGAAGGGAAACCGAGUCUUAACUGGGCGUUAAGUUGCAGGGUAUAGACCCGAAACCCGGUGAUCUAGCCAUGGGCAGGUUGAAGGUUGGGUAACACUAACUGGAGGACCGAACCGACUAAUGUUGAAAAAUUAGCGGAUGACUUGUGGCUGGGGGUGAAAGGCCAAUCAAACCGGGAGAUAGCUGGUUCUCCCCGAAAGCUAUUUAGGUAGCGCCUCGUGAAUUCAUCUCCGGGGGUAGAGCACUGUUUCGGCAAGGGGGUCAUCCCGACUUACCAACCCGAUGCAAACUGCGAAUACCGGAGAAUGUUAUCACGGGAGACACACGGCGGGUGCUAACGUCCGUCGUGAAGAGGGAAACAACCCAGACCGCCAGCUAAGGUCCCAAAGUCAUGGUUAAGUGGGAAACGAUGUGGGAAGGCCCAGACAGCCAGGAUGUUGGCUUAGAAGCAGCCAUCAUUUAAAGAAAGCGUAAUAGCUCACUGGUCGAGUCGGCCUGCGCGGAAGAUGUAACGGGGCUAAACCAUGCACCGAAGCUGCGGCAGCGACACUAUGUGUUGUUGGGUAGGGGAGCGUUCUGUAAGCCUGUGAAGGUGGCCUGUGAGGGUUGCUGGAGGUAUCAGAAGUGCGAAUGCUGACAUAAGUAACGAUAAAGCGGGUGAAAAGCCCGCUCGCCGGAAGACCAAGGGUUCCUGUCCAACGUUAAUCGGGGCAGGGUGAGUCGACCCCUAAGGCGAGGCCGAAAGGCGUAGUCGAUGGGAAACAGGUUAAUAUUCCUGUACUUGGUGUUACUGCGAAGGGGGGACGGAGAAGGCUAUGUUGGCCGGGCGACGGUUGUCCCGGUUUAAGCGUGUAGGCUGGUUUUCCAGGCAAAUCCGGAAAACCAAGGCUGAGGCGUGAUGACGAGGCACUACGGUGCUGAAGUGACAAAUGCCCUGCUUCCAGGAAAAGCCUCUAAGCAUCAGGUAACAUCAAAUCGUACCCCAAACCGACACAGGUGGUCAGGUAGAGAAUACCAAGGCGCUUGAGAGAACUCGGGUGAAGGAACUAGGCAAAAUGGUGCCGUAACUUCGGGAGAAGGCACGCUGAUAUGUAGGUGAAGCGACUUGCUCGUGGAGCUGAAAUCAGUCGAAGAUACCAGCUGGCUGCAACUGUUUAUUAAAAACACAGCACUGUGCAAACACGAAAGUGGACGUAUACGGUGUGACGCCUGCCCGGUGCCGGAAGGUUAAUUGAUGGGGUUAGCGGCAACGCGAAGCUCUUGAUCGAAGCCCCGGUAAACGGCGGCCGUAACUAUAACGGUCCUAAGGUAGCGAAAUUCCUUGUCGGGUAAGUUCCGACCUGCACGAAUGGCGUAAUGAUGGCCAGGCUGUCUCCACCCGAGACUCAGUGAAAUUGAACUCGCUGUGAAGAUGCAGUGUACCCGCGGCAAGACGGAAAGACCCCGUGAACCUUUACUAUAGCUUGACACUGAACAUUGAGCCUUGAUGUGUAGGAUAGGUGGGAGGCUUUGAAGUGUGGACGCCAGUCUGCAUGGAGCCGACCUUGAAAUACCACCCUUUAAUGUUUGAUGUUCUAACGUUGGCCCGUAAUCCGGGUUGCGGACAGUGUCUGGUGGGUAGUUUGACUGGGGCGGUCUCCUCCUAAAGAGUAACGGAGGAGCACGAAGGUUGGCUAAUCCUGGUCGGACAUCAGGAGGUUAGUGCAAUGGCAUAAGCCAGCUUGACUGCGAGCGUGACGGCGCGAGCAGGUGCGAAAGCAGGUCAUAGUGAUCCGGUGGUUCUGAAUGGAAGGGCCAUCGCUCAACGGAUAAAAGGUACUCCGGGGAUAACAGGCUGAUACCGCCCAAGAGUUCAUAUCGACGGCGGUGUUUGGCACCUCGAUGUCGGCUCAUCACAUCCUGGGGCUGAAGUAGGUCCCAAGGGUAUGGCUGUUCGCCAUUUAAAGUGGUACGCGAGCUGGGUUUAGAACGUCGUGAGACAGUUCGGUCCCUAUCUGCCGUGGGCGCUGGAGAACUGAGGGGGGCUGCUCCUAGUACGAGAGGACCGGAGUGGACGCAUCACUGGUGUUCGGGUUGUCAUGCCAAUGGCACUGCCCGGUAGCUAAAUGCGGAAGAGAUAAGUGCUGAAAGCAUCUAAGCACGAAACUUGCCCCGAGAUGAGUUCUCCCUGACUCCUUGAGGGUCCUGAAGGAACGUUGAAGACGACGACGUUGAUAGGCCGGGUGUGUAAGCGCAGCGAUGCGUUGAGCUAACCGGUACUAAUGAACCGUGAGGCUUAACCUU
rnacentral:rRNA from 13 species